rnacentral:lncRNA from 1 species
UUGCUAAAUAGAUAUAGGAAGAUUUGGUGUGAGUAUGAAGCCCUUAAAGGGCUAACUAGUGGCCUGUUGCAAGACUUUAUAUAAAAAAGAAGAUGUGAUAUGAUUGCAAAUGAUAACUAUAGGUCAUCGUACGGCCUUCAACAAUGAGCAAAGGUCAUACCGCAUAGUCAGCUAUAAAAGGCCCCGAUAAGACAAUGUAAAACAAUUCAAACGAGAAAACUAACGGUCUUAUUUAUAUAAAACUAGAAGCUCUCAAGAGCCUGUAUCGCUCACCUGAUUCUACUUGGGUUUUUGAAAUCAUAUAAAAAAAUAUAAAAUUUGACUAAAAGUAACAACACUUGGCCAGCAC